ACACACACACACACAUACAUAGUGAACUCUGGUUAUGUAAGGGAUAAUGCCCGACGAGGUGUCCAUUAUCAGAAAUAAAUGGAGGACGCGGAGGCGUGAACUGUCCGACGCGAAGCGGAGUCCAUUUAUUUCUGAUAAUGGACGCAUCGAAGGGCAUUAUCCCGUUUAUACCAUGGUCACUUACGAAAUAAAUAAAUAGGAAAUCAAUUAUGAAUACUAAAUGAGUUUUAGAGCUAAAAUCGUUAGUUUUCUCAGCUGUUUAU